AUUUUCAUCGGACAGUUUUAAUAAUUUUGAACUCAUGAACUUUUUCCAUAAAAUUGAAUGACAUGUGCUUGCAACCAAUUAUUUAAGCUGUGAUAAUUGUUACACAUGUCGUUAUUUUGCAUGAUGUUACAAAUAAGGUAUGCUAUCUGUAAUUAUUCCAACACAAUUAUACCGUUGAAACUUUACGUUUGCCGUAAUUGAAAUGCCAAAAUACUGCGCUGUUAACCAUUUUUUACUGUUUUGUUUAAGUUUGACCCUUUCUAGCCAUCUUGUUAAUCAAUUUUCGAAAAUUGGUGAAUUAUUUAUAUAGGACAAGACACAAAAGUUGAACAAAUUCGCAUUAUUUUCUUACUCGCGGAAGUCGAGUAAAUAAACCGUUCGCAAAAAUAAGUUGGUUUUAUAGUAUGUGUAAAAUUCAAUAGUCUCAUUGUUGCUGUCUGUCGUAUUUAUUUUUCGUUUGAUGUUUGACCAUGAUCAGACCAAUGGUUUUCAAUUUUGAAUCACUCCACCUUUUGUAACAUUAUAUAUGUCCCAUAAAAUCAUUUACAAUAUCUAUAGCAAAUUACGGUAAGGGACCAAGACCCUCCUGAUUUUAAAAUACUUUCCAAGCAAUAUUACAAAAGAAAAGUGCAAGUGGAAAAUAGGAAGGAAAAGGUACCCUAAUAAUAAAAGAAAAGAAAAAAAAAACAGAAGUGAAAAAAAAAAAAAAAACACUUGGAGAAAAAAAAACGGAAUUAAAAAACCAACAAAAAUGACACACAAAUGUUGAAGUUCAGAAAAAAACUACUGGGAAAAACCCAUAAAACCUGUGGUGAACAUAAGUGCUCCGGAAAAGUCAUAAUUUCUGUUCUAUUGUUUGAAUCGUCUUGAUAAUCUUGGCAAGUUAAAUUUCACAGAUAAGUUGAACUCGGUCACUCGGUGUCACUGGAAAAAGGGGAACUUUAGUGUGACAGAGACUAGUGUAUGAUAUCAAGAACACUCUAUGAAACAGAUGUUAAAUAACAGUCAGGCAAAUCAUGACGACGAUCGUAAAAUUUUCGAAAUGGAGACAUAAUGUAUACUGCAUUGUUGUCAAUAAUAAUAUUUACUUAUUUGAAUAUAAGUCAAAUAAACUGAAUAAAAGAUUUUUACAUGAAGAGAUUACCUACCGAUUUAGAAAAAUGCAUGGUAAAAUUAUAAUUUUCCAACAUUAAAAAAUAGCAUCCUAAAAUGUAAAUGUGCCUUCUUUCAAAUACGAUUUUAUUUACUUUUUAAUUUGAUUUCAUCGGUAAUUCUUACAUCAUCAUUAUUAAAUGGUCCUUUCAUCUAAAACCAUUAGCAGUGGUUGACAAUGAAUUAUUUUGAAAGCUUCCACAUUAAGUAAACAUAUAAUUAAUAUUAUAGGUAAUGAUCAUAAUUAAUUGAAAAUUUGUAUACAAAAACACUAUAUAUCAUAACCAAUAGAGAUAUGAUAUCCGUAUUUUCAGAUAUUUGCAACAUGUGGAAUCAAGAAAUUAUAUUGUACAUUUAUUCUGCCUUUCUUGCUGGUUUAGGAGUUUCUAUUGAGCUAUAUGUGACACUAGGCUCAACAGCAGAAUUAAACUGUCCAUUCAAGAAAACCACAGAUGCUAUAAUAUGGAGAGGGCCGCAACAACUCUCUACCUAUGCCAUUAACAACAAAGUUAACAUUGACAUCCCUCAUUCAAGUAGAAUAAAGAUAUCUGGCAAUUUUACAGCCGGUGAAUACAUUUUAAAGCUACAUAACUUCACAAAAGAUAACGAAGGAACUUAUCAAUGUGAUACCAUUAACAACAACACGGCAGUGAAGUUCAAGAUCGUAAUGAAAAUAGCAGAUACUUAUAUAGAUGGUGUUUCGUCAGUUGAACAACACACCACAGAAUUUCCAGAUGUUAGAAUAGAGAAUAGAAAUAUCUUUUGUGACAUGUGUUCAACAAUCAAUCUAACAUGCCAGACAACUUCGGAUAUAGCUUUGAUAUUUGAAAGUAUCUGGGUUCAUACCUAUAACAACGUCAUUAUCGACAAAAUGGCUGGUCAAGUAAUUGGCACAUUUUCAGUAGUUUCUAUACCAUUUUGCGCCUUAAAGGAUUCUGGAAAUUAAUCUUGUUAUUGGUUCAAUAAAACAGCAGAAUAUUUUGCUCAAACAACAGUACAUGUAAGAAGCCGACCUGUUUUCACUGAAAAGAAAGUAAUGAAUCACGGGAACAACAUAUUUUUGGAAGUAAAGUUUUAUUCUGAUCCGAAACCUGAUAUGGUUUUUUGGUAUUACAAUGACAACAACAUAACAUCUGAAGAUAAGUAUGAAAGACUUGUGGAAACUACCACUAUAAAGCUCACUAUUAAAAAACAAAAUAUAACGGCCAAUGGGUUUGUUGCCAUAUUGAUUAUAAAAAACUUCACAGCAUCUGAUAUAGCUGUGUAUAGAUGUUGCGUCAAAAAUGCAAUAGACGUCAUUGAUGUUCACUUUAACAAGUACACAAUAGUUGAAGUCUUGCCGGAAAGAAAUGGGAACGAAACACACGCGAUGACAGGUUAGUUUAAACAUUCAAAUGAUGUUUUCGUAAUAGAAAAUAUUGAAAAUACAAAAAUAAAGGAAUGUGAUAAGGCAAUAAUUCGUAUUUCAGAUGAUGUAUUGUUUUUCUAAAAGUGGAUAUAAAACAUAAGCAUGGAAAUGUAGGACACGGUUAAUACUUCCGGCAUUCUAAGAAAACCUAGAAAAAAGUAAAAUCACAAAAAUACUGAACUCCGAGGAAAAUUCAAAACGGAAAGUUAUGGUUAUUGCUAACUUUUCGACCAUUUAUAUCCAUUCAAUAUCCUCUCCUUUCAAUUUUAUGAUCAGAACUUACACAUGUUAUUAUACUGCUAUACAAGCAAAAUUCAAAAUGUUGUAGUACCAAUGCAAGUGCGUCAAUAAAAAGUCAUCGUAUACGAUUUCAAUGUCACUUUCAGUAGCAAGUGUCUACACAAAGAUCGUGUCAAUACUAGAAAUACUAAUAAAAGUUAGAUCGUCAUUUGUAGGUAUGUCAGGUCUGUGACAAUAAACAAAUAAAAGAAACAAAGAAAACUUGAACUUCUAUUAUUCAAUCUACAAAAUUAAGACGACGUUAUUAUUUGGACAGUUGUUUAUUGAAAUAUUGAAUUUUAAUCGCCAUAUUCUUCUUUUCGCAAAAUGUGAAAAUGGCGACCGCCAGCGGAAACCUUGAUCUUAUACGAUUCCAAUGUCACUGUCAGUAGCAAGUGUCUACACUAGGAUCUACACUAUACUAGAAAUACUAAAGUCAGAUCGUCAUUUGUGGAUAUGUCAGGUCUGUGACAAUAAACAAACGAAAAAAGGAAAAUGUACAAACAUGUAGUCCGUUGUUGUUGACUUCUUCAUUUUUAAAUAUGGAAAUGUAAAACAAAAAACACUUGAAUUAAUAUUAUUCAAUCAACAACAUUCAUAUAAUGUUUAAUGUACAUAUAUUUUGUUUUAGAACUAAACGUUAUUAUUUGGACAGUUGUUUAUACUGCUAUCAGUAGUGCCGUAGCUCUUUUAGCAGUGAUCACAGUCAUGAUUGUUCGAAGAGGACAAACAGUAAAGAUAAACCAAACAAUGAUAGUAAAUGAUACCAGAAUGCAACAGGUCAAUGCAAGAUUAAGUCUUGAGCAACGAAGUACAUCACAUGACAGUAUCAAUUCCAAUCGGGAAUAUGAGGAUAUUGAUAGUGUAAUUUCAAAUACAGAUAACCACCACAACAUACUAGUAGACACUUCGUACGUUAAUGAAAUAAUGAAUGAUAGUUUACACGAAUAUUACAAUGAAAUAUCUAAUGAGUAUGUUGAUCUGAAUACUAAUAGGGAACUACACACUUAUUGGACAUAUGAUGGAGAAUAUCAAUAUUUAUAGUUACAUGUAUGUCGUAAUUCAAAUGUUCAAAUACUUAAAACAUAUUUGAUAUAUGUUUCCUGAAAUGAAACCUUGUAAUUUUCAGGUAUUUUGUGAAAGAUCAAACAAUAUUAAUUAAAAUUUUAUGAAUAACAUUAACAGUACCGGUUAUACUACACCUGAUGCGCAUUUUGACAAUAAAUGUCUCUUUAGUGAUGCUUAAGAUUAAUAUAUUUGAAAAAUCAAAACCUUAUGAAAUAAUUCUGGGUUGAGUGUAACUUACGUAUUAAGGGGGCUCGAGGGUACAAAUCCAUUAAAAAAAAGAAGGAUUUCGCUAUUUUUUUCUAUAAAUGAACUUUAUCAUAUAGUUUACAGAAAAAUAAAAUAAAAAAAUGGGGUCACCAUUCAUCUAAGCUCACAAUCUGACUUCAAAAGAAGCAUGCAUUUUUGUUAAGGUAUUUUUUUCCUGUUGAACUAAUAGGAGAAAUAGAGGUAAUAUCGAAAUUAAAAAGAACUAAAUUACAGAAAUCGCUUACUUAUAUUUUACAAUUGUUUAGUUUAAGUACAGCUUAUUUGAAAAAAAAAAUAUAGGUCACCGAUGAGUUAAGAAAGAUAUUUCAAUUUUUAAUGCAAAAAUUGGCUUUUUUGCACAAAGGGAGAUAACUUGGAGCUUUUUCAAUGAUAUAAACAUUUCAAAAGUCAUCUGGGGCCAAACCGAAUUGAUUUUUGAGGUUGAUUUUUUGUAUAAUAAAUAAAGACAAACUUGCAUCUAACAUAAUUCAAAUAUUUUCGACACAUUUUUUUUUUUGGGGGGGGGG